ensembl:rRNA 5S_rRNA 5S ribosomal RNA
GCUUACGGCCACACCACCCUGAACACGCCUGAUCUCGUCUGAUCUCGGAAGCUAAGCAGGGCCGGGCUGGUUAGUACUUGGAUGGGAGACCGCCUGGGAAUACCAGGUGCUGUAAGUU